rnacentral:rRNA from 1 species
GUGGAUUAGAUACCCUGGUAUUCCACGCCGUAAACGAUGAAUGCUAGCCGUUGGAUAGCUUGCUAUUCAGUGGCGCAGCUAACGCAUUAAGCAUUCCGCCUGGGGAGUACGGCCGCAAGGUUGAAACUCAAAGGAAUUGACGGGGGCCCGCACAAGCGGUGGAGCAUGUGGUUUAAUUCGACGCAACGCGCAGAACCUUACCAGGGUUUGACAUCCUGAGACCGCCCUCUAAUAGGGGUUUUCCCGCAAGGGACUCAGAGACAGGUGCUGCAUGGCCGUCGCCAACU